CCUACGGGUGGCUGCAGUGAGGAAUAUUGGUCAAUGGACGAGAGUCUGAACCAGCCAAGUAGCGUGAAGGAUGACUGCCCUAUGGGUUGUAAACUUCUUUUAUAUGGGAAUAAAAUGUUCCACGUGUGGGAUUUUGUAUGUACCAUAUGAAUAAGGAUAGGCUAACUCCGUGCCAGCAGCCGCGGUAAUACGGAGGAUCCGAGCGUUAUCCGGAUUUAUUGGGUUUAAAGGGAGCGUAGGUGGAUUGUUAAGUCAGUUGUGAAAGUUUGCGGCUCAACCGGAAAAUUGCAGUUGAAACUGGCAGUCUUGAGUACAGUAGAGGUGGGCGGAAUUCGUGGUGUAGCGGUGAAAUGCGUAGAUAUCACGAAGAACUCCGAUUGCGAAGGCAGUUCACUGGACUGCAACUGACACUGAGGCUCGAAAGUGUGGGUAUCAAACAGGAUUAGAUACCCCAGUAGUC
rnacentral:rRNA from 1 species